UAGUAUUUGUUUCUGUUAGCUGAGAUAUAUAUAUUUCAAAAAUGUUUGUUUGAAUAACGUAUAAUAUGUCAGCUAUGGCCUAUGGGAAUAAACCCGAAUGAAAAACGAAUAUUUGAAUAGGUAGUACAAUAUUAUAUUUUAAUUUUCAGAUUAUGAUUUUGAGAAUAUAUUUAAAUAUCGCGGUGGAUAAAAAGUUUCGAUUCUAUAAGAUUGCCAAAAAAAUGGAACACGCCGUCAAUUUAUUGUCAUAUUAUGUCAAGUUGUACCUAGAUUGUCCGGUUUUGUGUUUCGAAGUCUCUAUAACUGUGUACGGAAGUUAUGAUGACGUACUGUACUGCUGUGUGUUAGUCAUAACAAUAUAAUAGGAGAAAAUCUUUAAGAUAAUACGCUUCAAAAACCUAUACCUGGACAUUCGCUAACAACUUAAAUAGGAUCAUCAACUGCAUUGCGUAUAGUUAUUACUUACUAUAUCCCCCCUCUACAUUAUAUUAACAGAUUUGCGUAUAAAAAGUGAAAUAUCCUUUUUUGUCUCGUUUUAAAUUAUUCAUACGUACCCACUGCCUACUUUCAUUUUCUAUAUAAUAUUAUUUUUAUGUAAGUACCUA